rnacentral:rRNA from 1 species
UACGUAGGGGGCAAGCGUUGUCCGGAUUCAUUGGGCGUAAAGAGCGUGUAGGCGGUCAGGUAGGUCGGUUGUGAAAACUGGAGGCUCAACCUUCAGACGUCGACCGAAACCCCCUGGCUAGAGUCCGGGAGAGGAGAGUGGAAUUCCUGGUGUAGCGGUGGAAUGCGCAGAUAUCAGGAAGAACACCCGUGGCGAAAGCGGCUCUCUGGAACGGUACUGACGCUGAGACGAGAAAGCGUGGGGAGCGAACAGG